rnacentral:tRNA from 1 species
GCCUGGGUGGCUCAGUCAGUGGAGCAUCUGAUUCUUGACUUCGGCUCAGGUCAUGAGGAGUCCGUGGGUUCAAGCCCCACGUUGGGCU